AAUUCUCAACUUCAAAUUUGUUUUUGAAGCUUGGAUGUUGGGGGAUUUGCAGGCACACACUUAGUGUCAGCUCCUCUYAAAUGCAUUAGCAGAACUAUUGAAGGAUCAGCUCUGGUUUGAUAAUCCUAUCUAUGCCAUUGCUGAGACUCUAAAGGUUUUCGGCUUCUAAUUGUCUUCGGACUGUCUCUUGCGAGGCAUAAGCUUUUUGA
rnacentral:misc_RNA from 1 species